UUUUAAAUUGCAUCCUAGGACACUUUUUGUUUGGAUCUUGUUAUUGAUUCUGAUGCUAAAUCCUGUUCGUGUGUGAGUGAGCAAAUGAUUUAACUUAUAAACUAUGGGACUGCAGUAGUCAGAAAUAACAAAAGAAAGACAACAAGCACAA